rnacentral:lncRNA from 1 species
AGCCCAUACACGCACCGAUAGAGACUCCACGGGUAGCACUUCUGGGUGAGGGAUAGCAGCACACGGUUUGAUUUUUAUGGUUGAGCAACUUACACGUACGCACAGGCCAUGGGCGCUCCAUUGAUAGGUUAGCAUCAUGUUCGUUUGAAAAAUUAAAACUUUGUUUAGUUGAGAUUCACGGUUUUAGCUUAAAAGUUGGAAUUGUAUUUGGUUUCAUUUUGAUCUAUUGUGCUAAUCCAAAAAGUUUGGAUUUUACUUAAUUUAAUUUUGAUUCAUGAUGUUGGUUUGGAAAAAUACGAUUUUGUUUAGUUUUAACCUAUCUUGUUUAGUUAUAGUUUUAUAGUUUUAGCUCUUUACUUCAAUUAAUUUCAUAUGAUCGAGCUUCCUUUUUUUUUUUUUUAAGUUAUAUAAUUGAAGUUUGAGUUCAUUUUUUUUGGAUUAGGUAUUUUUAUUAUUUUAGUUUAUUUAUCUAAUGGUUUUUGAGUGAUAAAGUUCAUCUUUUAAUUUUGUUUGACCUAGUUUUAAUUCAUCUUGCUUGGCUAUAGUUCUAUAGAUUUAUUUUUUUGGUUUAGUGAAUAUAUGUGAUCAAGCUCAUAUCUUUAGUGUUGUUUUAAAUUUAGUACUAAUCCAUAUGUUUACUUUAGGUGUCUUCACAAUUUUAGUUCCUUAGUUUAAUAAAUUCCAUGUGAUCAAAUUCAUCUUGUUUUAGUUUAGUUGAAUUCAUCUAUUUAUUUUAAAUACUUUUAUAGUUUUAGCUCAUUAAUAAAAUUGAUGAGAUGUUUUACUAUUCAUGUUUGUUUUAGUUUAUUUUAAUUUAGUUUGGUUCAUCUAUUUAGUUGUAGAUGAUAUAUAUAUAUAGCUUUAGUUUAUUAAUAAAAUUUAUUAGGCGUUUGGAAGUUCAUGUGUUCGGUUUGCUUUAAAAAAAAUGCUUAGGAUGUUUUUGGUUUGGUAAUUGAUGUCAGUCUGCUAUAAAAAAAGUCCUCGGGUUGCUUAAGUUUGAUGAAAUUAUAUUAGUUUGCCUUUAAAAAUUCUUGAGAGUUUCUCGUUUGGUAAUUGAUGUUAGUGUGCUUCGUAAAAAGAUGUUGGGGAUGUUUUUAGUUUGAUAAAUUUAUUUUAGGAUGUGUUUUUAAAAAUGCUUAGGAUUUUUUUUUUUUUUUUUUUAAAGUUUGAUGAAUUGAAUAUAGUUUUCUUUAAAAAAAAAAAAAAAUUCUUGGGACGUUUUAGUUUUAUAAAUUAAGAUUAGUUUGUCUCUUGGGAUGUUUUAGUUUUAAAUGGAGUUAAUAGAAGACAAAUUCUUGAAGACAAAUAUAUAUAUAUAUAGUAGUUAGCAUUUACCUUAUCGGUUUUGGUAUUCAUGCAAAUGGGAAGAGAUGAAGAGGUUCACAUGAUAUUCAUUAUGUAAAGGUGUGGUCCAUCAACCUUCCUUUUGCAUGGUUACUUAAAAACUCUUUUUCCUUUUAUUUAUUUUUUAUUUUUUAUUUGAGUAGAAUACAUGGACAAAACCCAUAAUCCAGAUCUUAAAUCAAUUGCUCCAAAUCUUUUCCAAAUCCACGCCCCAUCUCACUUUAAUCAAUCGCUUUAGACGGUUAAACUAUUAGUUGAUGGUUAAAAUAAGAAGUAAAAACCUAAAUGUUACAAUUAUUGCUCUAGAAUAUUUAAAAUAAUCAUUACUAUCAAUAUAAUAAGAUCUCCACUCAAAUAACUCUUAUAGUAAAUAUAUUUUAUUAGAAACUUCCUACUAUCCUAUAAAAGCUCAAAGAAAGGUCAUUUAAGCAAGUUCUGACACUCUCUCUCACCUAUGCCACAGAAUUCCUUGUCACUCUUUUUGGCCGGAAUCACUCGAUCUACUCUUAGAACUACCAUAGUGCGUUCCUAAGCUCCCAACUAGCCUCAUUCUCUUGUAGUCCCUUCCACUUAACUAAGAAUUCUGUCAUAAAAGGUACACAUCAUCUUUUGAUGACUUAAUCUAUGAUGAAAUGAUGUGCCUCUUUGUCAUAAGAGGUUACAACGAUUGUAGGCACCCUUUUUUAUAACCCUUGGCUUGUAUCAACCUUGUCUAUGGUAAGGCUUCAAGUAGCUAGAUGGAAGAUAGGAUGAAUCUUCAACCUCAAAGGCAACUUGACCCUAUGGGAGACCUUGCUGACGAGUCCUAACACAAGAAAGAGGCUUUCAUAUCUCUUCACAAGGCCUUUGUGCACAGGCCUUAGGGACUUAAACUAUUGAGAAAGGAGCUCAACAAAUGCCAAGUCUCCAACUUGAUGCUCCAUGUGUUGUCUCUUCUUGUCAGAUCAUUUUUUCAUCUUCUUAGUGGCUUUGUCUAAGUAUGAGCGAGCUAUGUCAGCUUACUCUUGUCAUCCCUUAUCAAACUUGAAAGCUCCUAUCACUAGUGUGUGGGGAACCAAAGACUACUACAUCGUAGCUAGCUCAAAUGGGCUCUUAUUAGUGACCUCACUUCUUUGCAAGUUGUAAGAGCAUUGGGCCACAUUCAACAACUUAACCUAACCUCAUUGAUUGUCACUCAUAAAGUGACUCAAGCAUAACUCCAACAAAGCGUUCACCUUUUUUGUUUGCCCAUCCUUUUGUAGGUGAAAGCUAGUAGAGAAGUGAAACUCUGAUCCCAUCAACUUGAAGAGCUUCGUUUAAAACUUUCUAGUGAAGUGCAGGUGACGAUCAUUAAUGAUGUGUUUAGGCAAUCCCCAAUACUUGAAAACAUGCAUCAGGAAUAGCCUCAUCUUCUUAUCUACGGUAUAAUCUGAAGGGGCUACUAGGAAUAUUGUAGUGUAUUUAAAGAACCUGUCCACCUCCACAAUGAUUAAGCCAUGUCCUUCUAACUUUUGUAACCCAAUGAUGAUGUCCAUGGUGACACUCUUCUAUGGAUGCUCCAUGAAAGGUAAUGGCUCCAACAUGCAUUUUAGUUGUUGUUGCUCUACCCUGUCUUGUUGGCUCACAAGAAAAGUCUUCAUGUAAGCCUCAACUUCAUCUCGCAUCUGAGGCCAAUAUUAUGCAAACUCAAGUAAUGCUCUCAUGCGUCGUUGCCUAGGGUGCCCAACCCAUUUAAUAUAAUGGCACUCCUUAAUCAAGUUUCUUCUCAUGUUUUCCUAUUUAGGCAUGUAGAGUCAUCUCCCUUUGGUGUCAAGUAGGUUGUCUUCCACCUAGAUUGCUUAGUUUUCCCCUCAUGGGCUAAAGUGAUGAGACUCUUAACCACAAAUCAUUUUAUAGCCCUUCCUUUAAAAGAUCCACCAACUCUCCUUAGGGAUAGCUAGUCAUGGAUGCUAGCUUCACCUUAUAGCUUAGGGUGUCGACCACCUAAUUUACACUCCUUGACUUAUACUCCAUCAUGUAGUCAAACUCGGCCAAUAAGUCUUGCCAUUGUGCUUUCUUAUGACUUUGCUUCUUCUGUGUAUGGAAGUAGCUAAUGGCAACGUUAUUAGUCUUUAUUACGAAAUGAGACCCCAAUGGAUAGUGUCUACAGGUGAGUAAGCAAUGAAUUAUAGUUGUCAUCUCAUUCUCUUGCACUGUAUACCACCACUAGGUGUCAUUAAGCCUGGGACUCUCAAAGGCGAUAAGAUGUAUGUCUCACAUUAAAACUCUUUCAAUAGAAAAGUCGAAAGCAUCUGUGUGCACCUCGAAUACCUUGGUGUGGUGGAGUAGUGCCAACACCGGUUCAUUUGUCACAAUCUUCUUCAAAUCCUCAAAGGCUUGCUAUCACUUUUCAUCCCAUUCCUAUGCCUUAUUCUUAUUGAUAAGAUCAAUAAGUGGAGUUGCCUUAGAUGAGUAGCCUUUGAUAAACCAUUAGUACUAAUUGACUAGACCAAGAAAAUAUCUUAAUUGAGGUACCUUGGUAGGCAGAUCCCAUUCUUGGAUGGCCUUGACCUUAGUAUCAUCCAUCAAUUAGCUUGUCAUCCUUGAUGCAAUGCCCUAGGAAGCUCACUUUUCCCUUAGUGAAUGAGCAUUUCUCCUUCCUUACAUACAACUCGUUCUGCCUUAGGAUCUCAUAAACCUUUCUUAGAUGUUGCAUAUGCUCCUCCAAGGUGUUGCUAUAGACAACAAUGUCAUCCAAGUAUACCACUACAAACUUGUCCAAGAAUGGAUGAAAGAUCUUGUUCAUAAGCAUUUAGAACGUGGCUAGAGCAUCAGUGAGUUUGAAGGGCAUCACUAAGAACUCAUAGGAGCCAUACCAAGUCACACACGUUGUCUUUGGAUCAUCCCCCUCCAUAAUCCUUAGUAGUAGCCCGACCUCAAGUCCAACUUUGUGAAGUAUUUUGCCCUACCAAGCUAAUUGAAUAGAUUGACAACAAGUGGAAUAGGGUAUCUUUUUCUUAAUGGUUCCAAGGAACUCUUUUUACGGAUCACACUUAUACAUAAUCAUUAAAUUCAAACCUUGUUUUGUUAUCAUUAAAACACAACAUUAACCAAACCUUGGUCUAACACAACAUUGAGUACUUUAAGUCAUGGCAAAUGGCUAAGCUCAAAAUGAAGCUUUUUAGUAGUGGAUGUACUAUAAAUGAAUCUCCUUAAGGUUAGAAUAAAUUAAAAUUAGAGGGACCGACAAGAAUUGUUCCAUUUAUGGAAUUUUGUGCAAGGUUAAUAUGCUGAACAAAUGAGGGUUGGCCAUCUAGAAGAAUUGGCCAUAAAAUGAGUUGAAGUUGGAGAGUUUGAGGGGAUAUGAUGCCAGAGAUCCCAAGUAUACGAACCAAGUUAAGUGAACCAAGCCAACUGAGUACAGUGAGAUGAAUUGAGGUUCCAUUCUUGAGUUCCUUUAUUGGUGCAAGAGACACCGUACCAAGUAUAGGCGAUGAAUUUAGGUUCCAAACUAACAAAGCAGCAUGAAGGUCAGAGGCUGUGGAUUUCAAAGAUAGAAGUGCAUAUAUAUCGGUGUUAGCAUCAAGAGCUCCUAGCUUGUUCAUGCUACAAGGUAGAAUAAUUUGAAACUGAAGGAAGGUGAGUCAUGCAAUCUGGAGAUGCUCUUUCAUCUUUUUAAAUCAAGGUCAUGGANNNNNNNNNNNNNNNNNNNNNNNNNNNNNNNNNNNNNNNNNNNNNNNNNNNNNNNNNNNNNNNNNNNNNNNNNNNNNNNNNNNNNNNNNNNNNNNNNNNNNNNNNNNNNNNNNNNNNNNNNNNNNNNNNCUUUCAUAAUCUCUUCCCAUAUUAUAUCAAUGAUAAUUGAUUUGAUCUGGAUUUCACUUCUUAUGUUGUCUGCUUUUAAGAACAAUAUUUCAUUAGACUUUAGUAUUCGGACUUAUAUUUAUACGUACUAGUUAGCUAGCGUAAUUUCUUCUGCUGUUAUACACUUCAUUUAUAAUAAACAACUUUAAUAUUAUUCUGUCAAAUAUAUGAAUAUUUACCAAUUUACAACUCGUAUAUACAAGUCUUCAUGCACAACUCUCACCCUACAUACUACACAUUUGCCAAUAUUUGUACACAUUCAAAGAUUCCUUUUAUGAAAAAACAAAACAAAAUAAAAUCUAAUGGUAGUGACAGUACUGAAUUGCCACAGUCAUAAGACUAACCCUGUUUUAUGCAAAGGAAGCUCGUCUCCUUUGACCAAUUGGUGAGUCUGGUAUACAGGGCAUAUGGCCAUGAAUCGUCUGAAUGAAUAUGGGUUCUAUUUAGUCUUUGAUCCAGGGAGCAUGACAGUUUAAGCUUGUGCUUAGUUUUCCCUUUGAAUGAAUAUGUACGCAUCCCAAUGCAAUCAUAAAGUCUAUGGAUUCAUCUUGAAUCCUAAUGCUUAAUCUUCUCGACAAUAUGAAGUGCAAUAAAAUAAACAAAUGCACUCUAUCCAAUUGUUAUAAAAAUUACUAAGUUGGAAAUUGUCCACAUAGGCAUGUGAAUUAUCGAGUUAUCCUAAGAUUGGACAGCCGGUCUUUCUUGAUAAGAAGUUAAUACAGAUUUUUUCUUUUUCUUCUUUGAGAUUUUGUAACUGUUGUGUGUGCAUGAUUGGUCACUCAUUUGCUUGUGACAUCAUCUUCAUAACUUAUUUUCUUCACAAAAAAUAUUCUUUUUUAUUCUGUGACAGAAUUUAAAAGUUGACUUUGACUGGUUUACCACUUAGUUGCAACUUCAUGUUCUUAGCCGUCUUCCCCAUCUCCAGUUCAAAAGCCUUGUUUCUAUUUCUAAGUUAGUAAGAGCCACUACAAGAAAAAAGUGAAAUAAUGACGUUUUUUAAGCGUCAAGAAAGGUAAAAGAUGACACUUCCCCGAAGCGUCAUCUCCGCCCCUGUCAUUAAAUGUUACAAUUAACAAUGACAUUUCCAAGAAGCGCCAUCUUUUAUUAAUGCUUUCAAUGGCGCUUUAAGAAGUGUUAUCCUUUAAUAAUGUCAACAAUGACACUUGUGAAAGUGUCAUCUUUGAACAUUUUAAUUGAAAUAAUUUUUAUAAAAUUACCACUCUUGACACUUUUGCGAACGCCAUCUUUGAUUUAAUCUUAUUAAUGACACUUUUAAAAAUGUCUUCUUUGUUUCAUGUUAACAAUGACGCUUAUAAAAGCAUCAUCUUUGAACAGUUUCUAUUAAAAAAUAAUAUUUUGAUUAUGUUAUAUAAACAAUUGAUUUCUUAUAUAAUUAAAUUAAAAAAACAAUUACAACCAAUAAAAUAAAAUCAAAUAUCCAAAUAUUGAUACACGUGAACCUAGUUUAAACAAUUAACGUAACCACCUAUAUAUAUUAAUUACACAUAAACUUGUUAAUUAUAUCAAAAUAUUUCAAUAAGAAUUUCUAAUUCUAACAUAAUAACAAACAUUGGUACUAAGACUACUAAAAUAAACCAUAAUCUUUAAAAGCAUAGUUCAACCUCCUAAUGAGUUCACUGAUGUAAUCUUCAUGGUUUUUGACUUCAUCUUCUUUAACACAAUGGUUUUUCUUCUUUUAGCAAACAAGUUUCCUUUGCAACCUGUAAAUAAAAAUAAGGAAGAGUAUAAAAAGUCUAAAUUAUUUAUACAUACAAUAAAUAAUAAGCAUAAAUGAAAUAAUAACCUUCACAAAAUUAAUUUAGGUUAUCAAGUUUGCUUACAUGAAUCCCCUUAGCCUCUUACAUACAUGGAUUGUGCUCCUUUCAAUUCAUUAUACGAAAAAAAAAAUUAUAUUAUGAAGUGUUUUUGAAAUAAAAUAUAACAGAUUAUUCUAAUGUAGAUAAAAAGCUCUCCAUUGUCAUCUCUAAANNNNNNNNNNNNNNNNNNNNNNNNNNNNNNNNNNNNNNNNNNNNNNNNNNNNNNNNNNNNNNNNNNNNNNNNNNNNNNNNNNNNNNNNNNNNNNNNNNNNCUUUGAACAUUUUAAUUGAAAUAAUUUUUAUAAAAUUACCACUCUUGACACUUUUGCGAACGCCAUCUUUGAUUUAAUCUUAUUAAUGACACUUUUAAAAAUGUCUUCUUUGUUUCAUGUUAACAAUGACGCUUAUAAAAGCAUCAUCUUUGAACAGUUUCUAUUAAAAAAUAAUAUUUUGAUUCUGUUAUUAAAACAAUUGAUUUCUUAUAUAAUUAAAUUAAAAAAACAAUUACAACCAAUAAAAUAAAAUCAAAUAUCCAAAUAUUGAUACACGUGAACCUAGUUUAAACAAUUAACGUAACCACCUAUAUAUAUUAAUUACACAUAAACUUGUUAAUUAUAUCAAAAUAUUUCAAUAAGAAUUUCUAAUUCUAACAUAAUAACAAACAUUGGUACUAAGACUACUAAAAUAAACCAUAAUCUUUAAAAGCAUAGUUCAACCUCCUAAUGAGUUCACUGAUGUAAUCUUCAUGGUUUUUGACUUCAUCUUCUUUAACACAAUGGUUUCUCUUCUUUUAGCAAACAAGUUUCCUUUGCAACCUGUAAAUAAAAAUAAGGAAGAGUAUAAAAAGUCUAAAUUAUUUAUACAUACAAUAAAUAAUAAGCAUAAAUGAAAUAAUAACCUUCACAAAAUUAAUUUAGGUUAUCAAGUUUGCUUACAUGAAUCCCCUUAGCCUCUUACAUACAUGGAUUGUGCUCCUUUCAAUUCAUUAUAUGAAAAAAAAAAAUUUAUAUUAUGAAGUGUUUUCGAAAUAAAAUAUAAUAGAUUAUUCUAAUGUAGAUAAAAAGCUCUCCAUUGUCAUCUCUAAAAAGCUCUUCAAAAAAGACCUCAUAAAAGAAUUCAUCAAAGUAAAACUAGACAUACAAAACAUUUCAUUAAGGAGACCAAUGAGUUGAAACUAAAUAAAUAAAUUUGUACUCUAUCAACAAAAUACCCUGAACUACAAUUUCAACUACCAUAUUAUGCUUUCCCCAAAAUAAGGAAAAAAAAUGUACUUAAAUUUUUUUAAAAAGUUUGAUUUUUUAUUCAACAACAUAGAAGAAAUAAAUUCUGUUUUUAUGGCAGUGAGUCUCAUGUUAAACAUUUCUUCUAUGGUACGUUGUGGUUGGUCCACUUGAUUGAUUCCUCAUGCUAUUAUGGUUCAUAACAAUUUCAAGUUCUGUUCUUGGUUGGAUUGGUGUAAUAGAUUAAUACUUUGUCCCAACUUGAAUAAUAAGCUUAAGAGAUGUCAAAAAGCUGAAAUUAUUAAGCACUUCAACAAUCCAACACAUUGGCUUUAAAAAAUAAUUAUUCAAGUCAUUAAGUUAAGACUUAUAUUGUUUUUCUUUUUUCUACUUUUUUACCCAUUGUUUGGUUGCUAAGAAAAUAGAGGAUAAAAAAAAAACAAAAAACAAAAUGGAUUCUCACAAAUUCUGUUUUUUCAAAUUCAAUCAAAUGGAAAUAUCAAUCCAACUAAGCCAAGUAUGUGUAUGGUGUAUAUAUUAAACUCAAUUAAAGAUUUUGAUUUCACUCCUUUGCAUAUAUUUCUCAACAAUCAAAAUAGAGCCUUAUAAGAAAAUCAUAACUUUGAGAGAUCUAUAUAUACUCCAUCCAAAUCUUAUAUUUCCAAACAAAACAAACAUCAAAACACAUUAAUCAUGACAUAAUAGUCUGUUUGUCUCCAGGAAAAUUUAGAGAGAAAAAAAGAAAAAUAAAUAAAUAAAAUUUUUCUUCCUCAGAUUUUUCAUUGCAACUGAGACUAAUAAAACAAGCAGAAGACAUAAAGAUCCAAAAGCUUCAUUUCCUUGUCUUUUUUCUUUUCAGCAACCAAAUGCACUAAGUAAUCUAAACAUUAAUUUUAAAGACAAUAACACAAUGAAGGAUUCAGUCAUUAAUGGAUAAAAAACAAUCUUUCAUCAAAUCUUGAUUCUCAUAUUUCUCACUCCAACUGUUGUAAUACUACCACGUCACUCAAAUCAAUCAAAUAACACAAAACACAAAGAUUCAAAAUUUUCUUUUAAAAGGAAAAAAACGAGAUAUACAACCAUUAAUAGAUCAGAUAGAAUUCUCCAUCAAAUUUCUAGUCCCAGAUUUUUCACUCCAACUGUUCCAAUUCCACUACAUGAUCAACAAAAAAAAAAUUAAAAUAGAAAUAAUUUUUAAAAUUCAAAAUUUAAAAACACACACACAUUGCCACCACCACUACCAAUAACAACAAUGAGAAAUAUAUAUAGUUAAUAAAAAUAAAAUCAAUCAUUUGUCAAAUCUCUACAUGAAAAAAUAAAUAAAUAAAUAAAAUAAAAUAUAAAAAACACACACACACAAAACAUAAAACACAAAGAUUCAAAUAUAAAUAAUAAGUAGCAGAGUGAUCGAUAGAUUAAAAAAUUCCCCAUGAAAUGUCAAGUCUCAUAUUUUUCAACAUCCAACUGCUAUAUAUAAUACUCUAUGGAAUACUCAAUCAUGAACAAAAAUAUGAAACACAAAGAUUUAAAACUUUCUUUUCUCAGCAACUAAACAAUAAAGGAAAUCAGAGUUAGAACUCUUCUAGGGAUCAUGUGGAAGAGUCUGUUAUAGUCUCAAAAACCUAUUCUUCCCAAGAGUAUAGCAUAUUAUUCUCACUUCAACUGUAUCUAAAAUCACUACGGAAACUGUCACAACUCCACACCAAGUAAGCUAAUAAUUUCUGCCACAUUAGAAAGAGUGGGAGGAUUAUGCAUGAUAACCCUUCACUUUUAAGUAGAUCAAAUGUGGCAAGAUGCCUAACCGAUUUAAUCAAUAUGGAGGUGAGGUGGCUCCCACACCCAAUGCAGACCUUUUGCCUUCAAUCCACCAACUAUCCUCACCAGCUGACGCCAACACAACCCCCACCAAGUUGAUAUAACCACAUAACACUCACCGCCACCACUUUAGAUGUCACCACACAACCAUGAACAUUAUCCUAUUCCAAACUAAUAAAUGCACUGGGUUCAUAAAAUCAAAUGAGUUUGAACCCAAUAAUGGUUUAUUGUUUAUUGAGUUAAAAUUCUACAUCAAAUUUAAACUUAACGCUAGGGAAUUAGAGGGCCUGACCUUUCCAUGCCUACCAGUGCAGAAAACAGGAGGAAUGGGGUACCUCUCACUCAACCUCUCCCUCACUUUUUCCUUUUGGAAUGGCGGGGUAAUACUGCUACUCUGUUGGGCUUCCUUGAGACAGGCCGUCCAGGAUGACUGUUCUUGGGAACAUUUUUCAGUGGGUGUAUGUUGCAGCUUCUCUGUUUCAUCCCUGGCGGGACUACCAUCUGAGAGGACUGUCAGUUCACUAACCAGGGAAGGAGUUUCCUCCAGCUCUUUGUCUGUGACAACCCUUAGGCUCAGGCAAACCUUCUGUAUGAUGAUGGACAAUGAACAAAGCAUCCUCUUCUGUUCUUCAGCAUCCCUGCAGUCUACACGUAAGAAAAACUCCAAGACAAAGUCAGAUGAAGGAACAUGAAUACUCCACAGGCGUAUUGCAACAGCAGCACAUCGAAAACAAUUCUCCAUCAGCAUAUUAUUCUCACUUCAACUGUAUCUAAAAUCACUACCUGAUCCAAAAUAUAAAAAAACACAAAACAUGGAGAUUCAAAAUUUUCUUAUUCUCCCAAAUAUAAAAUAAUGAGAAAUGCAGUUAAUAGUGGAUCAAUAACAGAACAAAAUCAAAACUUAGCAUUUCAUCAUGAAAAAAGAAUGAAUCAUAGAACAAAGGAGACUAUUGAGUUACUUUUGAAAGAAGUCUUCAUCGACGACAACAGCUAUGUCGAUGAGAAGGUUGCUCGUGUUCAAGAGAAUUCCUUUGUAAGCAAUUGGUAGUGAGGAGGUUAAGCUUCUGGCACUCCUUGUCAGGAAUGAAGAUAGUUUUGGUCGAGGGUAGUGAUGGUGGAUUUUCGGGAGUCUCUAAUGGAUUAGGGUUUCAUUUCUAAAUAUUGUCGAUAAAGUCUUUGACUAAUGGCUGGUGGUCUGUAGUCGUUUACUGGUAGUCACCAGUUGGUUCCUAGUGGUCGCCCAUGUGUUCGUCGGUGAAAUCAUCUACAGGUAGCUUUCCUAUACAAAUGGGGGUUUGUCGGGUUGAGAUGGUGUUUGUGAAGAUGAAAUGCUAUUUUAGAGAAGGGAAAAUAUGGAUUGUGUAUAUAUAACGAGAGACAAUGACCCUUGUAAAAAGUGCUAAGAAAAGACAUUAUGUAUAUGCAGGAGACAAUGACACUUGCAACAAGCGCCAAGGAUGUUCAUAUUUAUCAAUGACACGUUUUCAAGCGUCAUCUUCAAUAAAGCGUCAUUAUUUUAUAUACGAAAACGCCAAUGUUAAUUGAAUUUCUUCAAGUGCCAAUGUAAAUAUUAAGGAAGUGUCAUCAUUUAGAAAGCGCCAUUAUUGGUUUAAUUCAUUGACGUUUUUUAAAAAGGUCAAGAAAUUAAGCGUCAUUAUUUAGUAUUUUUGUAGUAGUAGCUAUCCUUACCCCUUCAUUUAUCAGGAUUGUAUAUAUAGUGUACUCUUCAGUGCCAUUAUAUAUUGUGUCAAUUGAUUCAUCUCAAAGGUCUAGUUUUUAAACUUGUUGGUAUUAUAUGUAUGAAUAUACAUAAUUCAAUUGCUAUGAAAAAAUUAAUAAAUAUACUCCAUAACAAUUAUUGGAAGUUGGUGACUAUCUGUAUGGUUGACCUGGUAAACAGAUUCAUCUCAAGAUGGCACAGUAAGCUCUUUCUAGAGAAGUCAACAUAGACCAUUUUAUUGUGUUUUUUAUUUUAUUUUAUUUUAUUUUUAAUCUUUCUUCUUCUGCAACAAUUAUCGAUUAGUUGAGAUAAUGAUAUUGGUCCAACACUUGUUAAUGGCAACAUCAUUUUUGUUAGCCAUUUUCAUUUAUCUACUAUGUAGAAGCCUUGUUCCAUAUGCCUACUCUAUAAGAGCUAUCUUCCGUGUAUCAUAGAUGGAACGUGGAACAGAUAAUGCAUAUGCAAAACAUAGAAGAAAGAACUCUACGGGGAUUAUUUCCUAGGAAAAACUAAUCAGGAUUUAGUGCUAGUAGCAUACUUUUAGUCUAGUAAAUUUUGUGAGUUGAGCAGACUAACAGACAUUCUAAGCUUAGUCCCUUUGUUUUAUAACUCAAAAAGGGUGUGGUUUUCAGUUAGUAUUUGAGUUACUUUUUUUUUUUUUUGAUGGCUAACAAGAAAGCCGCUCUGCGCCCACCCCCCACCACCAAAAGAAAAAGGAAGUGAGAAAGAAAGAAAGAAUAAAUCAGAAUAAGAAUUGUUCUAAUAAAAAUUUAGAAGCGCAUCUUUAAAAUACUUAAAAUUAUCCUUAGAUUAUGUGCAAGGAGUAAGGUCUAUGCAAAUGUAAUAAAAGAAAACAAGUUAUAAUCAUCCCAAUUACUAUAAGAUACAAAUUAGAGAUCUCUCAAGGUUUAGUUUAGAAGAUUCUUCAUGUAUUGUUCAAAAUAUUGAUUUGACUUAUCAACAAGAGGCAGAUUACUCUUCUUCCAAAACUGGAAUACAUUUGACUGGUCUUGUGAGCUAAUCAUGAUAAAACAAAACAGUCAGACAACCUAGAUUUUCUUAAUGUGUAAUUAAAUAGUUAGUGUUUCUAAAUCGAUCCCUCAUGUUUUCAGUAUAAAUACUCAACCUCGACUAAAUUCUUCAUUAUCAUCCCAUUCUUACCUUUUGUUUUCUUUAGCUUGUAAUGUAUUCAUCCUCUAAAGUUAGCAUGGCAAAGAUUUAUUCCUCAAGCCUCCAAAGUCAUGCUGACAGCUAUAUUUAUAGCAAUCCUAUUGCUUAUGUCUUUUGUGGCCACUACUGCAAUUCUACAGGACACAACAAUAGGAGUUAAAUUAGGUGAGUAGAAAAUUAUCAUAUGGACUGUUCUAUUUUUGUUUCUCAAUGCCAAGAUACUUUUGCUUUUUGCUAUCAACUUUGCAUGCCUUUUGCCUUUUUCAUUUCUGUGAUUGUGAGUGAAAUUUGUUCAGUUUCUAUGAGUUGGGGGUUUUAUUGAACUCCAGCCAUGGAAUUUGUAACUGAGAAACCUUCAAACGGAAGGGUCUACUCAUCUAUGAUCUUGACCAUUUAUUAUUUUUGUGUUGCAGGAUGGAAGGCUCUAGGUUUAUCCGUCCAUGUUGAUUAUGAAGACCAGUAUGAUACAGGAGGGGGAUGAUACAGCUCAACAAGUCCAUAAUCACUUCAGAAUUAGGUUCCCAAGAGUUGUUUUUGAGAAGGUUGCCAAAUAAAUCUUAGAAUUUCUUUCUGUUUCUGAGUGAUAAUAUGGUUCAUGUACUUUAUUCUAUGGCUGAUGUAGAUUUUACUAGGAAGCAUUUGUACCUUAAAGAAGCACAGAAAGUUUGGUGUUAGAAUCUCUAAAAAUGUUGUGAUUUUUAUUUUUAUUUUUCACUUAUGUUGAAAUUAUAAAUUAAGGGCUUUUCUCCUAGUUCCAUUGUAAUUCUCUCUAGUACUCUAGGGAGGAGUCUACCUCAAAUCCCACUCCAAAUUACUAGUUCACAAAACUCAAUUAAUCGCUGGGAGUUCUUAAUGCC